GCAUAAAGGUUUAAGCAUAUGCAUAUACUAAAACUGGAUCAAUACUUAAAAGAUUAAUCUGGCUCUUGCAUAAGGAUAACACAAAUUUGGGAAGCAUUUUGUAUUUCG
rnacentral:snRNA from 1 species